CCUACGGGUGGCAGCAGUGAGGAAUAUUGGUCAAUGGACGAGAGUCUGAACCAGCCAAGUAGCGUGAAGGAUGACUGCCCUAUGGGUUGUAAACUUCUUUUAUAUGGGAAUAAAAUGUUCCACGUGUGGGAUUUUGUAUGUACCAUAUGAAUAAGGAUCGGCUAACUCCGUGCCAGCAGCCGCGGUAAUACGGAGGAUCCGAGCGUUAUCCGGAUUUAUUGGGUUUAAAGGGAGCGUAGGUGGAUUGUUAAGUCAGUUGUGAAAGUUUGCGGCUCAACCGUAAAAUUGCAGUUGAAACUGGGGGCCUUGAGUGGGCGAGAAGAAGGCGGAAUGCGUGGUGUAGCGGUGAAAUGCAUAGAUAUCACGCAGAACCCCGAUUGCGAAGGCAGCCUUCCGGCGCCCUACUGACGCUGAGGCACGAAAGUGCGGGGAUCGAACAGGAUUAGAUACCCGUGUAGUC
rnacentral:rRNA from 1 species